AUUGAACGCUGGCGGCAUGCCCUACACAUGCAAGUCGAACGGUAACGGGCCUUCGGGUGCCGACGAGUGGCGAACGGGUGAGUAAUGUAUCGGAACGUACCUUUCAGUGGGGGAUAACAUAGCGAAAGUUACGCUAAUACCGCAUAUUCUGUGAGCAGGAAAGCAGGGGAUCGCAAGACCUUGCGCUGAUUGAGCGGCCGAUAUCAGAUUAGCUAGUUGGUGAGGUAAAGGCUCACCAAGGCGACGAUCUGUAGCGGGUCUGAGAGGAUGAUCCGCCACACUGGAACGGAGACACGGUCCAGACUCCUACGGGAGGCAGCAGUGGGGAAUUUUGGACAAUGGGGGCAACCCUGAUCCAGCCAUGCCGCGUGAGUGAAGAAGGCCUUCGGGUUGUAAAGCUCUUUCGGCCGGGAAGAAAUCGUAUCAGCUAAUACCUGGUGCGGAUGACGGUACCGGCAUAAGAAGCACCGGCUAACUACGUGCCAGCCGCCGCCGUAAUAC
rnacentral:rRNA from 1 species